UAAAUUCAAUUCGCCCUAUAGUGAGUCGUAUUAAGAAGCAAUUAUACGGCGAAACUGCGAAUGGCUCAUUAUAUAAGUUAUCGUUUAUUUGAUAGUACCUUACCACUUGGAUAACCGUGGUAAUUCUAGAGCUAAUACAUGCUAAAAAUCCCGACUUCGGAAGGGAUGUAUUUAUUAGAUUAAAAACCAAUGCCCUUCGGGGCUCACUGGUGAUUCAUGAUAACUCCUCGAAUCGCAUGGCCUUGUGCCGGCGAUGGUUCAUUCAAAUUUCUUCCCUAUCAACUUUCGAUGUUUGGGUAUUGGCCAAACAUGGUUGCAACGGGUAACGGAGGGUUAGGGCUCGACCCCGGAGAAGGAGCCUGAGAAACGGCUACUACAUCCAAGGAAGGCAGCAGGCGCGCAAAUUACCCAAUCCCGACUCGGGGAGGUAGUGACAAUAAAUACUGAUACAGGGCUCUAUUGGGUCUUGUAAUUGGAAUGAGUACAAUUUAAUCCCUUAGCGAGGAAAAUUGGAGGGAAGUCUGGUGCCAGCAGCCGCGGUAAUUCCAGCUCCAAUAGCGUAUAUUAAAGUUGUUGUGGUUAAAAACUCGUAGGUGAACCUGCAGAAGGAUCA
rnacentral:misc_RNA from 1 species